rnacentral:lncRNA from 1 species
ACGAAGGCUGCCGAGACGGGGGUCCGACGCGACAGCGUCCACCAACUCGCUGCCGUGUCCACCGUGGGCCUGCGCGCCAAGCCCCCACGGGGGUGACGCGCGGCGACAACGGGGACAUCUGCUCUUUCCGCCAGACUUUUUUGCUCCCUAUCUGUUUCAAAUAGGAACCGCGCAAAGGCCUCCAUAAGGCAGAGCGCGGUGGCCAGCGGCGCAUCCCUCGGGUCGCCGCCAAAGGCCGCCCGCGCACGCACAUAGUCCUCGCCAGCGCUGGCCUCCUGUCGGGCACCGGCGGUGCGUUGCGCGCGCCUCCGUGCGGCCCGCUCGGCCUCGUCCAUCAGGAGAGCGGCCUGCGAGGCACUGGCCCCACCGAGGGCAAUAGCCGUUCGGGGGUCGGCCCCAAUGAGGUAUCUCAUGAUUGCGCUUUGCAGUUCUCCGGGAAAGACCUCCUCGUAAGGCGCGAGUGCCGCCUCCCGCUGCGCAGCGUCGCCGAGCGGCGUCAGGAUGCGCGGCCGCUUAGCAGCCGGUCCUGGACCCAUGCCGGACGGCAUGCUGGGCGACGCGUUCAUGUCGACGAGUUGGCCAAGAGACGCCAACGUCGCCCAUGCAUCGACCUGUUGACGCCACGGAUGUCCACCCACGGCAGCGAGGGCGGCGCACUGCCCGAGUGGCGUCGCAGGCACGCGCGCACCAGGCACGGCGUCACGCGUGACCUCGGCCAGAACCUCUGCGUCGCGCGGCUCAAGCACGCCACCGGCCCACAAAGAGGCACAGAUGCGUGCGCCGGCCGCUUGGUGGGCAUACGCUGGUCGGGGGCGUCGCAUUUUUUUCUCUUUAUUUUCCCUUCUUCUUCUUCUUCUGUCUCGCCUUGCAGAGUGCGCGCCGACAAAAGCCGGACGCGCCGUCGAUCGCGCACGACGCGCACCCCCCCAAAGGCGACCUCUUUGAUUGUUUCCUCUUCACGCGCGAGUCGGCCCGUGCAGUCCCAAAGAAGACUCGGACGAAAAGGCGGGUAUCUCAUGGCGGGUCCGCCCCGCCUUUCGAACGCGCAACGGAACAUAGCGCAGCCG